AGCAAGAAAAGGACAUUAUUUGCUCCUGUCAUCUGUUUUGCUUUCUCUCCUGCUAUCUGUCAUUUUCUCCUCCUGAGAUAGAAGAGUGAAGUGGU
rnacentral:miRNA from 1 species